rnacentral:rRNA from 1 species
AUGAGAUCGCUGCCCAUUGUAGUUUUAUCCCUCCUGAUUCUUGUCCUUGCUGCCCAUGUAUCCCAAGCCGAUGACAAGGGCUCUCCAGGCGGAAAUGGGGAGGGUUCCCAUGAAGGUGACGGUGAUGAUCAUAAAUCAAAUGGCGUAGGGCCGGUGAAAAAGCCAAAAUGCCAUAAGCCCGGACGUGGUCCGAAAAACCAUGACAAUGAUGGUCGAGGACCACCGGAAAAGGAUUGCGAUGAUGAAGAGACGACACCGUCAUCACCGGGGCCUUCCCCAAACCAAGGUAAUGGUUCACCAUCACCACCGCCAUCCCCUUCUUAUUCUCCACCCACGAAUACCCAGUCACCUCCACCUCCAUCAGAAACUAGUCCUACUACACCUCCACCCUACCAACCCAGCAAUCAAUCCCCUCCGCCACCAUCAUCAUCAAGCCCACCACCAACACCUCCAUCUAGCCCCCCUGUUAAACCUCCAACCUACGAACCUAAUGAUCAAUCGCCACCGCCUCUAAUGAAUCCUCCACCCAUUACCCAACCACCUCCAUCUAGUCCACCUGCGGCACCUCCAAUGAGCCCGACUAAUCAGCCUCCUCCACCUCCCCCUGGUACACCUCCAACCUAUGAACCUAAUGAUCAAUUGCCACCGCCUCCAUUAAAUCCUCCGUCCAUUCCCCCACAACCAUCUAGCCCACCUGCCUCACCUCCAAUGAACCCCACUAAUGAUCAACCUCCUCCACCAUCUCCGUCAUCUAGCCCCCCACCAGUAGCUCCAGCCACCCCACCAACACCUCUAUCUAGUCCCCCUGUUACGCCUCCAUCCUACGAACCUAACGAUCAAUCACCACCGCCUCCAUUGAAUCCUCCACCCAUUCCCUCACCAGUUCCAUCAAGCCCACCCGUGGCACCUCCUAUGAACCCGACUAAUGAUCAGUCUCCACCAUCGUCAUCAUCUAGCCCCCCACAAAUAGCUCCAAUGACUCCACCACCUCCCACUCGCCCACCUGCCACGCCUCCAACAGACUCAACUAAUGAGCAAAGUCCUCCACCAACACCAUCAUCUAGUCCACCAGGAGCUCUAUCAAGUCCUCCACCACCGUCAUCUAGUCCAGCAAUGGCUCCAUCCAUUGCCACGCCACCUUUGUCUAGUCCCCCUGCUACACCUCCAACAUACCAAGCUAAUGACCAGCCCCCUCCACCACCACCAUCAUAUAGUACACCGCCGACAACUUUAGCUAGUCCUCCACCACCACCAUUGAGUCCACCAGCAAUAUCUCCAACCACUAGCCCACCUCCUACAUCUACUUCCCCAUCGCCUAUGUCUAGUCCACCAGCAACACCGCCGACCAACCAAGGUAACCACCCACCGUCACCAUUAAGUCCGCCUACCACACCUCCGAUGUACCAAGUUAACCAACCACCGCCGCCACCACAAUUAAGUGCCCCUGCCACACCUCCGACCUAUCAAGGUAAUGCCCAACCACCACCAUCGCCACUUGGUGCCCCUACUGGCAAUGGAUGGGUGCAAGUUCAGAACUUUCAUGACGCCAUGUACUGGCAAAUCGGGCGCUUUGCGGUGUACAAGUUGGUAAACAAGAAGAACAAUUCCCUUGUUGAUGUGCUCUAUGUGAGCAUGCAACCUGCAGGAAAUGGCAACAACUACUUUCUUGUGAUAAAAGUAGCAGAUGAAUAUAAGAAGGUCGGCAAGUAUCAUGUGCUUCUAUGGGGUGUGCCCGGGUCAGCAGAUCAAGCAUGGAAACCAUAUUGGCUCAAAUUUGUAGGAAACUAA